UAAUAUAUUAUAAUCUAAUAACUACCUAUUAACUAAUUAGACUAAUUAAGAAUAAUUUUAACUUCUAUGACUGCAUUUUAUUUAUUGUUCGUAUUCUCUUAUUUCUCAUUAAUUCUUCAUAAUUAGUGAGUAAAUUUAAAUUAUUACAUUAUACAUUUUACAUGGAGAAGACAUCAGAUACAAUAGUUAAAGAGUUAUUCAACUCUUUGGAGCAGAAAAUGCCUUGUGUUCCUGAUACAGAAGUUACGUCCACUUACUCGGUGCCAGAAUCCAUUAAGAAACACAAGCGACAUGAUAAAUCAAAAAAAAAACAUAAAAAACACAAGAAAAAAUCAAAGAAAUCCAAAAAGAAAAAACGACAUGAUAAAUCUAAUUCACCUGAUGAUUGCAUAGAACUGAAACUCAAAAAAAAUAAGCUAGAAGAAGCCAAAUCUGGUAUGUCAGUAUCAUUAGAUGUGAUCAUGGAAACAAUUGUGAGUACGGCUAAUGAAAAAAGUGAGGAGGUCAAAGACAUUAAAUACAAUGAAAAUGAGCUCUGUCAUCAUACAAUUAAUUUAAUAGAUACAAAUAAAGUACAGACACCAGAAAAUGAUUCAAAUCAAUUAAAACAUAAUACUAUUGGAUUAAAUAAUGGAAAAAUCAUCAUUAAAGAUUUAAAAGAGAGCCGUUUAUACCAUGAAUUAGUUCUUAAAGUUCAAGAAAAAGAAAGAUUGAAAACCGAAAAAUGUAAAAAUAGUGAAUCUAGUAGUUUAGACAAAAAGAAAAAAAAAGAAAAGCAUAAAUCAAAAAAAAAGAAAAGAUCAAGAAGUAGAAAUAGAUCAAGUACUCCAAAACGACUUAAGAAGUAUAGUCGAUCUCGUUCAAAUAGCAAAGAUAAGUAUUUGAGACACGAUGACUUUAAAAGUCAUCAAACUAAUUCAAGGAACCAAAGUGACACUAGUAUUAAGUGUAAAAAUAAUGAUAGUGAUAUUAAAUCAAAAGAAAAAAGCAAUCAUCAUAAAAGAUCUAUAACACCAGAUAAAUACUCAAAAUCAAUUAUAUGUUCAAGAUCGAGGGAUAGUAAAAAGUCAAAGAGAUCAGAAGAUUAUUAUAGAACAAGAAAACAAUCGAGGUCUAGAGAAACAUCUAGGAGUAGACAUAGAUCUCCUUCUUGUGAAAAAAUUGAUAAAAAAAAGUUAUUUAAAAUAGCUCGUAAAAAUGCCUUGUCCCUAGUACAACAAGGUGUAUUACCAGUGGGAAGUGUAAAAAAGGAUACUUUAGCCAAUGUACCCACUAAAACUGUUGAUGAAUUAACAGAUUUUUGUCGUAAACUUUCAAAAAAAGAUAAGGAUCAUGAUGAUGAUACUUCUUAUUCUUCUUCUGAUGAUGAAUUCAAACAACCUUUCCACCAUCCAUUUUUGGUCAAGGAAAGACCUAAUAUAGUCAUGAAUAUUAGAAACGCGACUCAAUUACCAGUUAAAUCCUUUCAAGAAAAAACUAUUGGGCAAGAUAUAUUGAGACAACAGUUUCCUGUAUCCAGUGGCCAAACUCAUAGUUUGGCUCUUACUGAAUGGAUGCCCAUAGGUCCUGAGGAAUCUGCAAAAUUAAAUAAAAUACUUAGACCUGAUGAAGGAAACAAACUUUCUAACAAGUCACAUCAUAUUCAACAGGCUCCAAAAGUUGUUCCUGUGGAACCCAUUAUUCAGCCUGUUUCUAGUCCAACCAAUGCUAUAGUGCCUAUGGAUUAUCAGUAUGUGUCUCCUGCUAUAGAAACUCCAGCAUUCAUACCUUAUGCGCAUGGUAAUUAUUCAUUGUUGUCAUUCGAAACUGGACAGUUCACUGGUCAUACUGGUGCUAAAGUACUAACCCCUGCAGAACUUUCUGCUGGAUUUCAAACCUGGGUGAAAAAGGUAAAAUGUAUAGGAACUUUAUACUCUGAUUUUUCUUUUCAUUUUUUUAAAUAUAUAGUUGGUAUAACACAUUUUUACACUAUAUAUUGUUUUCUUCAAAUUCGAUAUUGACAAUUUUCAUUGGGCUUUCAAACACUUGGAAAUAUUACCGUAACUUUUAAGGUAAUAAAAAUGAUUAUUGAAAAAGACAAAUAAAACAUUUGUUUACAACUUAAAAAUACAUUACAUUUUAAUCAUUUUUUUAAAUACAGUGUGUUGAUUGUUGGUUACUGAGAACCUACUCAAUUCAAACAAAAUAAAUUCAUUGUGCAUUUAAUAAUAAAUUUAGUUUUUGAACUUGUAAGAAAAAGUCUUGCUGUAAUAAUUAAAUGUAUAAUUGAAUAAUUUAAAAUGAAUAUUUUACAUAUUUUAUGAUAUCAAUAUAUUUUUUUUAAACUGUAUGUUUAUCUAGCAAUUGCUGCAUUGCUAAAUAAACAUGCAUAUUAAGUGCACGAAAGCCAAAUGGAAAUCUGUUACAGGCAGUAUUACUUGUGUUUAACAUAUUUAAGCGCUAUAUCAACAACAUCACAAUCGAACGACGGUUCGUCUGCUGAACAUUCAUGGGAUAUCUGAUGCAGCCCCCUGGAUCAGCUGAAAAAUUCUGCUCCUGUAAAUAGUGGUAUUGGGAU